rnacentral:rRNA from 1 species
AUUGAACGCUGGCGGCAGACCUAACACAUGCAAGUCGAACGGUAACAGGAAGCAGCUUGCUGCUUUGCUGACGAGUGGCGGACGGGUGAGUAAUGUCUGGGAAACUGCCCGAUGGAGGGGGAUAACUACUGGAAACGGUAGCUAAUACCGCAUAACGUCGCAAGACCAAAGAGGGGGACCUUAGGGCCUCUUGCCAUCGGAUGUGCCCAGAUGGGAUUAGCUAGUAGGUGGGGUAACGGCUCACCUAGGCGACGAUCCCUAGCUGGUCUGAGAGGAUGACCAGCCACACUGGAACUGAGACACGGUCCAGACUCCUACGGGAGGCAGCAGUGGGGAAUAUUGCACAAUGGGCGCAAGCCUGAUGCAGCCAUGCCGCGUGUAUGAAGAAGGCCUUCGGGUUGUAAAGUACUUUCAGCGGGGAGGAAGGGAGUAAAGUUAAUACCUUUGCUCAUUGACGUUACCCGCAGAAGAAGCACCGGCUAACUCCGUG